rnacentral:rRNA from 1 species
GAGUUGUUGCUGGGCCCUGCAUAUGGGGGGAGGGGGACACUCUGUUUACACAUCCACUCACACCUGUGCACCCUCUGUAGUUCUAUGGCCUGGGUGGGCUCUGUCCCCCUGCUGUGGUUCUGCGUCUUUACACACACACUACAACAAAGUCUCAUGGAAUGUGUGUCGCGUUUUUAACGCAAUGAAAUACAACUUUCAGCAACGGAUCUCUUGGCUCUCGCAUCGAUGAAGAACGCACCGAAAUGCGAUAAGUAAUGUGAAUUGCAGAAUUCAGUGAAUCAUCGAAUCUUUGAACGCACCUUGCGCCCUUUGGCUAUUCCGAAAGGCAUGCCUGUUUGAGUAUCAUGAACACCUCAACUCUCAUGGCUUGCCGUGAUGAGCUUGGACUUUGGGGGUCUUGUUGGCCUGUGGGCCACCUCCUCUUAAAUGAAUUAUCUUGCCGGUGUUUGGUGGCGUCACAGGUGUGAUAACUAUCUACGCUUGUGGUUUUCCAUCAGGUAACCUUCACUGAUGGAGGUUCACUGGGGCUUAUAAAUGUCUCUCCUUGGUGAGGACAGAUUUUGACCAUUUGAUCUCAAAUCACGUAUGACUACCCGCUGAACGGGUGCAUAUCAA